UUUGCAACCAUUCUUUUUAAUAGAAAGAAUUUAUAUUCUUUAAACCAGACAACCAGAUGCCAGACAUUUUUGGAUAUAUUAAAAAAAAGAAGAACAGAACAAAACAAACAAAAAAAAGACACAAAAUGGAAUUAUACGGUUUAGACUGUGUGGAUUUAGUGGUCUCAUAUACAAUACAAUUUCUUUUUGUCGCCAAAAAGUGCAAAUUCUCUGAAAACAAAAAAACUAAAAAAAUCACUUAUAUUCCCCCCUCCCCUGCAGCUUCCAACAGAUAUGGACUUCUAUGCAAAGAAAAAAAGACUUUUGUGAAAAGAAAGGGGUAUUUUAAAGUGAAACCACACUGAAUUACACAGAGAAAAAUAUGUCUGUUGCACUCUGUUGGUAAAAACAUCCAAUUAUGUUGCAUAUUUUGGCCACAGUCCAUCCGGUUAGUGAUAGCAUCGAGCAGGUUAUUCUGCCGUUGGGAUCCGCAGAGUGGACUGUGGUCAGCAGAGUGACAUUAUUAAAAGUUCUGCCACACGCAGAAACAUGGUGCAACAGUUUUCUGCCUUAUAUAACUCAGUGUAAACUUAAAUUAAAUUAAAACGUCCAGAUUUGAGAACAGGGCCUUAUUCUGCUGCUUUAAAAUGUACAUCAGCAAAACAAAACAAAAAGAAAUGUCUGUUAUAAUUAUCACAGUUACAACUCAAUCUAUAAAUAGUAGCCUAUUCCUUCUCUCCCAAGUUAAACCAUUUACUGAACUAUAGAUUUACUGAAUGCUUAUUAUGAUCAAUAUUCUUUCCGCUCUACUGCAGUAAUCUGGAUUUGACAAAGGUGUUAAGGCCAAAACACGUUUUCUGUACUGAAUUGCAAAUGUAAAUGAUGAUGGUCAUUUUGGCCAUUUGUCUUUCAUAAUCAUUUCAGCUCUAUAUGGAUACCAGAUCCGGCCUUUUACCUACACAGACAGGGUGUUAUUGCAGACAAAGAGAUUCUGCAGUAGAUUAAACACUGCAUGUUUAACAUUCAGCACAGCUAGCCUUCUCAGAAAGCUUUGCAACUGUUACACAGGCUUCUUUUUCCAAGAAAAAGAGUCUCCAGAAAUUAGAUCAAGUGACCUUUCUCCCAACAAUAUCUGAGACAGUGAGCAGAGAGCAGGUAGAGGGGAGGUCUGUCCUGUAACCCCCCACCACCAUUGUGUGACUAUGCAAUAAGCUGCAUAACAGCUAUGGUGGUAGUAGAGCAGAGAUGCGUUUGUUUACAUCCAGACGAAGUGGCAGCUCAAGCCAUCUUCAGUCUAGAUACCAAAUAUUCAAGUUUUUGCUUUUUUUUCAUUUUCAUCAUAUAUAUUUUUUUGCAUUUAAAUAAUCAUCUGCACUGAGAAAACAAAAAACAACAAAAAAGGAGACAUCGACAGGGACAACAAAAUAAUAACAAUAGUGAUAACCAUAAAAUAAAAGCACACAAAAUUCAGGAUGGCCUUUCGCAAAGUGCUUUUUGUUACAAUCGCAGAAGCUGAAAAAAGGCAGUUUGAUAGCGCUAAACUGGGGGCUUUUUUUUUUUUUUUUUUUUUUUUAAAUUUUUCUUUUUUUUUUUGGAACGGUCUGUCUGUGAGAUAGUGAGGCUACAGACAGACAGACGAACCGAAACAGACAACUGCAAAAUGUUGACCGUUUCCUCCUGCUGUCUCAGACUCACAUCCUUUACACCUGCCAAAAACUCCAAAGUGGGAAUCACAGAAUGAAGUUAUGGAAUGUAUCCUAAAUUGGUUUAGGUGACUGCAAACUGAAACUGUCUCAUCCUCCACACCUCCAAUCCAAUCCCCUCUCCCUCCUUUCUCUCUUGUCGACUCCCCUGCUGAGGGUGUGUGAUCUGUGAUCAAAGGCCGGUCGGCAGCAAAGAUGUAGACUCUGAGUCCCGAGAGGGGGAGAGCGAUGGGAGAAGAAAGUCAGAGAACAUACAACCUCACCCCCACCUCCCCAUCUCCUUUCAAAAACGAUACAGUCUGACUAAUAAGACUGAAUCCCAAGUGGCUUCUUUCCCUCCAACAAACAAUUCACCGGAUCAAUAGGAGAUAGAGAAAUAGGUUGGUCGCAGCCACUUUACAAUGAGGGAACUGUUCGUGCUUUUAUCUUUCUGGGAACUAUUAUGUAAAAUAUUCUUGUGAACAAGAAGGGGGAAAAAACAGAGAAGUAACACGGAGGCUGAUUAGACAUACCAUAAACUGACACUGAAACUCAAUGCAUAGCAGUGUAUUUUCCACCUGAGUAGUACUUACAAAGAGACAAAAGAGAUCAGCAACGUUCUCAUUGUUGCAGGUCCCCAAUGUGAAAUCUGUGGUGACCUCCUUUGUGUUACAUGUCUUAUUGUGGCCAUGCAGUUCUUACAAACACUGAACCAUUGCUCAGCAAACAGUCCAUCACCUGGGCUUACUAAACUCAUCCCUGAAAACAACAUUCAGCCUUCCCCCGACCACCCGUAUUUAAUCCUCCUCCCUGUAUGCCAGCCUUUGUAUCCCCAGAGACUGAGAAAGACUCCAAGUGCAAAUUGUCCCCACUUGGCUGAGAGCAGCCAACAGACAGCAGCCUGCCUCUCUGAAGGACCCAGGGCUGUCUGUGCAAGUGCCAGAGCCACGCUGCGCAUAGUGCCGUACUGCAUAUGCUGCGCUCAGCUUGCUGUGCAUCAACAGCCUGAUGGAAAACACAAAAAAAUAGAAAAAGAAAUCAGGUGUGCAGCAAAAAUGACAAAGCAAAGCAAACAGUCCCCUUUCUGCUGCCACGACAGCUCACCACAGCAACAGUCACCCCGUCCUGCUCUGUUUGAUUAUUUUUUACAGUUAUCAGUGUUGUCAUAGUUGUUAUUGUCUUUGUUUUAUGGCCUUCUCAGAUAGAUUCACCAAAAAAAAACAAAACUUUGAUAAUAGCACAGGAAAAAUAACAUAUCAAGGACAAUUUUGAAAAAAUAAAACACUUGUGAUGAAGUUCUGAGACUGUCUCAGUGUAGCCUGUGUCAGAGUAACCUUGGUCUGGGGCUGAGGCUGGAGACACACCAGUCGUGGAGCCAUGGAGGCUGAUAGAGACACAGCUCUGAACUCGUGGAUAGUACAGAGACGUCAUUAUAGGAAUUCACUCAAGUAAAGCUCAAACAGAUCAUUUCAAGCCAAUCCGCUUUUACAGUUUGGUCUAAAAUGUGGCAAGAAAAGGGUUUAUGGUACAAAUUAAAACAAAAAAAGCCCCAAAAAGGUAUGAGUUUUGUCAAUCCCUGUCCACAUAAGGCACACUGUGGCCCUUGAUGUUGCAUUUUCCAUCUGGUGGGAAUGAGCCUCAGCCCCACACAGCACAAUACGACUGUCUGGAAACAUAAAACACAACAAGCUUAGUGCUGUCCAGACUAGGCCACAAAGUCACAGUCUGUUUCAAUUAGAAAACAUUUAAAUUCAGUUCCACCUUCGCAGAAAGUCAACUGAAAUCAUCCAAUUCAGCAGUGAUCAAGAAGACAGUGUUUGAAAAUAACAUUACAUUUCAUCAUUGAUUAUCCAUGCACGAGACAUAAAUUCCAUCUCUGAAUUUAAAAAAAAGAAUAAAGGAAAAAAAAACAAUUGGAAUCAGUAUCUCUGGCACCUUCACACAGCACAUCUCAGCCAUCAGAUCAGAACCAAUAUUUCCAACGUUUUCGGAGAAGCUUUGCUGCUUGUCUAAAUGUUAAACAUUUGGAAUAUUUUUUAAAUAUAAAUAGCAAACAUGAUUUGCUUCCAUCAAAAAAUUUACAUCCAGAAUCUCUCUUCAAGAGCAUUCAGAUUGAACAAUAAAACUCUAAUAAUCCAACAUUAGAUCGGUAGCUUAAAAUGCCCAGUGACUUGGAUGAAAGUCUUUUAUUUUUUUCUCCUUUGGUAUUUGUAGUUGCUGGACGUCUGUAUAUUCUUAAUAUACUGUACAUGAUUAUUUCUACGGAGGGGUUGGAUGGACUCUUGAUGAGACCAUUGAGUAUUAACCACACUGCUCUGUGCUCAUGGAAACUCGCAGGCCUUUCUGAGGUCUCCUGUUCUUCUCCCAUAAGCAGGAAAAGGACAUUUAACAUUAGUGCAAACUUUUGCUCUCUCAGCUAAAGCACCAUUUCCAGUGCUAUCAGGCUUUUAUCCAUAACCCCACCCAAGCACCCAUUUACCCCACCCUCCUGGCACAGCAUCCCCAAACCAAGACCCCUAGAUCCCCUCCCAAAACCCACCUCACACAUACACACACGCACACUAGCAUCCACAUACGCGCACAGCCAUGUAAAACUGUUAGAAAAAAAACAGCUGUAGCACAACACGUUACUUUAAGAAGUGUAGACAGACAGAAAAAAAGCUAUACAUCCUUAAACCUCUGAUUCUAUUGUCCACAAGGAUACAAAGAGUGAGAGGAAGUGAACUCAAGUAAAUAUCUGUAUGAUUCCACACACAUUUCUGCAUAUGUAUUCAAGAAGAGGGCAUCCGUGUGUGGCUUAGUCAGGGAGGCCCAGUCUGGAUAAAUUAUAUUUCUCUAGCCUACUGUAGACUAAGACGGAGGGCGAAAAAGCUUUGGUUAAUCAACAAACAACAUAAGACAUUCAGGGAAGCAUUAAGGUCCAAAGAAAUGUUGUGUUUAAGAUGGCUCACAGGUCCUGACAGGUUAAAAACUCUGCCACAUCAAGACAAAGUAGGUUGAAGCAGUCCAUGCCAAGUACCACUAAACAUAAAAAUCACAAACCAGGUAGACAUUAGAUUACCCAGAUUACACUGGUCUGUCUGUAGGAGUCAAACUGUGCAAUAACAAACCCCAUCUUUGUCAUAACAGAAGAAAAAAAUAGAAACUAAGACUCUCUAGACAUAGCCAAUCCGACUAUGACCAACAAGGGUAAACAAAGAGUUAUGCAAAUCUGCACCGAGAGAGCUGUGAAGUAAACAAGCAACUGUCCAAUGUGUUGUUUUACAAUAUGGUAUUUUUGCUUCUGUGGUACUGUGGACCUAUUAUCACCACGGUUCCUCAGAGAACACACGUGGUUAUGAGACUAGCUGGUGAACAGAUGGGGUAGACACGAUGUUUGUUUAUCCAGGGUUGUCCUGAGACCCUCCAGCCUGCCAGCCAGCAAUGCAUGCCUGUGCACAUGCAUGCAAAAUAAAAAAUGCAUGCAUACAUACACACACAGCGCCCAUUCUUCUUCGUCUACCGCCUCCUUCAACGCCCCCGCUUUACAUUAAGACAUAAAGACAAUCACUGUUGAUUCUUUUAAACAACUAACUUCAAGUGCAUUCAGUUACAUGAAUUAAUUUAGUCGUUUUUUAGGUCACCAAACCCAACAUGUUUGCAUUUGAACCAGCCAGGCUUCUCUUGUAGGGAUCCAAAGUCAUAUAUUACUGGCUGGAAACAUUUUUUUGUUCUUUUACUUUUUAUCUUUUUUGGCAGCUUGUCGUCAAAACCUGAACAAAACCAGUGAAGGAGCUCAACUUCACCACCGUGGACAGAGAAAAACACACAAGGACUGAUCUCAUUUGCAACUGGUUUGUUUCGAAGUACCCGUUUCGUUGACAAAAGUGCCCUCCUCAGUAACAAAGUGCAUUCAUAACCUGCCUCGUUCCAACUAAGGUGUAAAAGGACUGAUAGUUGAACCACAGAACUACUGCAGAAAUUAAAAGGUGGGCUGAGGAGGAGAUUCGAAACUUGCGUGCAUGUUCUCUUGUCUCAGUAGGCUCAGUAUGGAAUAACAACAUUGGAUUUAGAGUACAACAGCACAGCUUGGAUAUUUUAAGACUAGCAAAUCCAGAUGUAUGGGGUCACUGACAAUAUUGGAACAGACAUGUCAGCUCUGGUGUUUUCCCUUUCUCUACAGGAUACCUGGACCCAGCGAGUGUGAGAGAAAGUGCAUUGGGGCUGGCAGCUCAGGGUGCAUGUUUGAACAAGCUGCGGCUGACUCACACACUGAUGAUGUGGCCAGAGGGACCCUGGCUGCCAUGCGCACACACAUGCACGCCAACACACGUACAUGUAAACACACUCGCACACUACACUGCCAGCACCAGGCGUCCUCCCCACUGUAACACCAGGCUCUAAUAUAAUAAUAUCCCCUCCAGGCUGGUUCGGGGGCAUUAGAGGACUACAGAGGGAGAGCGAGAGGGAGAGAAAAAGGCCUGAUUUGAUCCCCUCCUGCCUGGAAACGUGGCUGAGCUGGGGGAGAUUAUUUUUUGGAAUGCAACAGACAUUGUGAGAUCCCCC
ensembl:lncRNA